rnacentral:rRNA from 1 species
UACGUAGGGGGCAAGCGUUGUCCGGAUUCAUUGGGCGUAAAGAGCGUGUAGGCGGCCCGGUAAGUCCGCUCUGAAAGUCCAGGGCUCAACCCUGGAAAGCGGGUGGAUACUGCCGGGCUAGAAUCCGGAAGAGGCGAGUGGAAUUCCUGGUGUAGCGGUGGAAUGCGCAGAUAUCGUAAGGAAGACCGGUGGCGAAAGCUAGUCUCUGGACAGUCACUGACACUGAGGCACGAAGGCCAGGGGAGCAAACGGG